rnacentral:rRNA from 1 species
AUUGAACGCUGGCGGCAGGCCUAACACAUGCAAGUCGAACGGUAACAGGAAGAGGCUUGCUUCCUUGCUGACGAGUGGCGGGCGGGAGAGACAUGUCUGGGAAACUGCUUGAUGGAGGGGGUAAACUACUGGAAACGGAAGCAAAAACCGCAUAUCGUCGCAAGACCAAAGAGGGGGAGCUUCGGGCCUCUUGCCUGCGGCUGUGCCCUGAUGGGAUUAGCUAGUAGGUGGGGUAACGGCUCACCUAGGCGACGAUCCAUAGCUGGUCUGAGAGGAUGACGAGCCACACUGGAACUGAGACACGGUCCAGACUCCUACGGGAGGCAGCAGUGGGGAAUAUUGCACAAUGGGCGCAAGCCUGAUGCAGCCAUGCCGCGUGUAUGAAGAAGGCCUUCGGGUUGUAAAGCACUUUCAGCGGGGAGGAAGGGAGGAGUGUGAAUACCUUUACGCAUUGACGUUACCCACAGAAGAAGCACCGGCUAACUCCGUG